UAUUCUGCUCCAUGGGGAAGGAUGAGAAGCUCCACCUAAGGUUCGCCUCGACCGAAGCGAGAGAACGUUGCCGCAGGCAACGGCCCGAAGGGCGAGGCGCUAUCUGGCUGUUAUACACUUCCCCGACCCCAC
rnacentral:sRNA from 1 species